rnacentral:rRNA from 1 species
UACGUAGGGUGCGAGCGUUGUCCGGAAUUAUUGGGCGUAAAGAGCUCGUAGGCGGUCUGUCGCGUCGAUCGUGAAAACUUGGGGCUUAACCCUGAGCUUGCGGUCGAUACGGGCAUGACUGGAGUUCGGCAGGGGAGACUGGAAUUCCUGGUGUAGCGGUGAAAUGCGCAGAUAUCAGGAGGAACACCGGUGGCGAAGGCGGGUCUCUGGGCCGAUACUGACGCUGAGGAGCGAAAGCAUGGGGAGCGAACAGG